CACAUCAAAAAAAAAACUCCCAAAAUCUUCAACCCAGCUGCAGCACUUUAUUCACGGAGCCCCCCCCCCCUUCCUCGCUCGACAAAAUGAAGCAAUUAUGAUGAAAUCGCUCCGCUGGUUUGGGCUUCUCUGCUCAACACGCAGGCCGACCUAAUGCUACAGAAUGGAAACAACCUGUGGAUGAAAUGGUGGCUAAACAACGGCAUUGGGACCAGUGAGCAUUGAGAUAAUAAUGGCGGGGGGGGGGGGGGGGGGCAGGUUAAAGAACGGCAGGAAAUAAAGGUGCACUAGAACUCCACCAUGAUCCAGCUGGACAAAGUUGCAUAGCCGCCAUCACAGACGGUCCUUAUCGCCGGAGCUGCGCUCCACUGGGCCCAGGGAGCAGAGGAGCGUGCUUAUCUCUGGACCUCAGCCUGCGGGGGACGUGCAGAUGAAGUUGGGGUUGUUCAAGUGGAGGCGGCGCUGUCGACGAUGCCGGCGAUGUCAGUUGAAGGUAAAGGACGACACCUGCUUUCACCUGGGACCCAGGAACCUCACCAGGCGACCUCGAUGACCUCUGUCCUACACUCACUUUGGACUCUUCCGUUUUGGAGCUGCAGCUAACCUGCUAAUAAGAGUUCACCCUGAACAAGUAUUGCUGCACCUACCAGCUCAGGGCAGGGCAAGUAGGGGACGCCCAAGGACAGGCGAGGACGGACCGAUGCAGCCUCUGUGGCUCUGGCCUGGCUGAACUCCCUCAUCAGCGAGGACAAUCCCAAAACUUCUGUGACAGCUUUGAAUAGAAAGCAAGCCCCACAUCAUAGUCAUGAUUCACAGCUGCCCAAGUCCAAGUGCGCCCGGAGGCCCUCGGACCUCUUAAUCAUCCUGUGAGCCCGACUGUGUGUGUUGUUCAAGGAAGCAAAUGAGGUCGACAGGGAGUGAAUGAGCUAGUUUGCAUACGGCAGCGCUUCCACAAAAGUUUCCUGUGUGUGUCAGAAGGAGUAAACGGCGUCUUAACGUG
rnacentral:lncRNA from 1 species